GAUGAACGCUGGCGGCGUGCCUAAUACAUGCAAGUCGAGCGAACAGAUUAUGAGCUUGCUCCUCUGACGUUAGCGUCUGACUUGUGAGUAACACGUUGAUAACUUACCUAUAUGCCUGGGAUAACUUCGUGAAACCGGAGCUAAUACCGUAUAAUAUAUUGAACCUCAUUUUUCAAUAAUGAAAGAUGGUUUUGUUGUCUCUUAUAGCUUGCUCCGCGACGCAUUUGCUAUUUGGUAAGGUAACGGCUUACCAAGGCAACGAUGCGUAGCCGACCUGAGAGGGUGAUAGGCAACAUUGGAACUGGAACAGGGUCAAGACUCAUAGGGGAGGAAGAAGUAGGGAAUCUUCGGAAAGGGGCGAAAGCCUGACGGAGAAAGGCCGCGUGAGUGAGGAAGGUCUUCGGAUCGUAAAACUCUGUUAUUAGGGAAGAACAAAUGGGUAAGUAAAUAUGCACGUCUUGACGGUACCUAAUCAGAAAGCCACGGCUAACUACGUG
rnacentral:rRNA from 1 species